rnacentral:lncRNA from 1 species
GAGGAAUAGUCAGGAUCUUCCAGUUCAAAUCUCGUACAUAGAAGCAUAGCUUCUUUGCAGAGAAGUUCCUCGUGAGGAAGUAGAGGCACCCUGUUCAGGAGUGCAUAGCGACGGCUGGAAAUUGAACCCAUAGAAAACCAAUCGCCCGUUGCAAAGUUAACGGCCUCACCACAAUUGAAACCUACAUGUAAAGAAAAGAUUUGCAAUUGAACCCAUAGAAAACCAAUCGCCUGUUGCAAAGUUAACGGCCUCCCCACAAUUGAAACCUACAUAUAAAGAAAAGAUUUGAGAGUCCAAGCUUUUACAUCCUCAGAGAAACAGAACAACAAUCAAGCGUAAAUCAGUGGAGGAUGAGAUAACAUCUGUCUGGGAUGUGUGAAUAAGCAGUUGUGCACAUAUGCUUCGUUGCACUAAACUCAAAACAAAGCAGACCAUUUGUUUUCAGAGUAAACAAAGGCAGGCUCUUAC